rnacentral:rRNA from 1 species
CCUACGGGAGGCAGCAGUGGGGAAUAUUGGACAAUGGGCGGAAGCCUGAUCCAGCCAUGCCGCGUGUGUGAAGAAGGCCUUUUGGUUGUAAAGCACUUUAAGCGAGGAGGAGGCUACUAGUAUUAAUACUACUGGAUAGUGGACGUUACUCGCAGAAUAAGCACCGGCUAACUCUGUGCCAGCAGCCGCGGUAAUACAGAGGGUGCGAGCGUUAAUCGGAUUUACUGGGCGUAAAGCGUGCGUAGGCGGCUGAUUAAGUCGGAUGUGAAAUCCCUGAGCUUAACUUAGGAAUUGCAUUCGAUACUGGUCAGCUAGAGUAUGGGAGAGGAUGGUAGAAUUCCAGGUGUAGCGGUGAAAUGCGUAGAGAUCUGGAGGAAUACCGAUGGCGAAGGCAGCCAUCUGGCCUAAUACUGACGCUGAGGUACGAAAGCAUGGGGAGCAAACAGGAUUAGAUACCCUGGUAGUCCAUGCCGUAAACGAUGUCUACUAGCCGUUGGGGUCUUUGAGACUUUAGUGGCGCNGCUACGCGAGUAAGUAGACCGCCGUGGGAGGUACGGUCGCGAAGACGUAAACGUAACGAAAGAAGUAGUUAGGACGGNGAGGAGAGCGACGGACGGACGACGAGGAGGGAGGAG